rnacentral:rRNA from 1 species
GAUGAACGCUGGCGGCGUGCCUAAUACAUGCAAGUCGAGCGAACAGACGAGGAGCUUGCUCCUCUGACGUUAGCGGCGGACGGGUGAGUAACACGUGGAUAACCUACCUAUAAGACUUGGAUAACUUCGGGAAACCGGAUCUAAUACCGGAUAAUAUAUUGAACCGCAUGGUUCAAUAGUGAAAGACGGUUUUGCUGUCACUUAUAGAUGGAUCCGCGCCGCAUUAGCUAGUUGGUAAGGUAACGGCUUACCAAGGCAACGAUGCGUAGCCGACCUGAGAGGGUGAUCGGCCACACUGGAACUGGGACACGGUCCAGACUCCUACGGGAGGCAGCAGUGGGGAAUCUUGCGCAAUGGGCGGAAGCCUGAAGGAGCAACGCCGCGUGGGUGAUGAAGGUCUUCGGGUCGUAAAACCCUUUUAUUAGGGAAGAACAAAAGUUGAAGUAACUAUGCACGUCUUGACGGUACCUAAUCAGAAAGCAACGGCUAACUACGUG